rnacentral:lncRNA from 1 species
GAAGAGCGCAGGGAGAGGUGAAGAGAGCAAGAAAAAUCUGACAAGCAGAGGAACAACUAGAGCAGACAAGGAGAAACUGAGAUAGCAUGCAGACAGCUUGAGGAAGACAAGGUGCAGAUAAGGAGCUGCAUCUAUCUAAUAGAUAUUCUUCCCCUAAUUCUAAUGGAAAUUGUAUCUUCCAGAACCUGUCAGUGGAAAUCUAAUCCAACUCCAAGGGAUAUACAGCACUGCUCAAAGCAGAAUCUAGAUGAUGACAAGGUCAUUUUCAUCUCAUCAGCUAUAAAGCACAGCCUGACACCUUCCUCCCCCAUCUUUUUCCUCACUGAGGUAGAGAAGGAGGAAAUCAGUUGAAUGACAGGUAACAUUUGUAAAUGCACAGCAGAAUCCAGGGACAAGUCUCCUUCAGCUGAGGAGAGCUUAACUUUGGUUUUCUCAGGAAUAACUGCUCCAUUGAUUGUCUGGGACUCUACAGGUGAUCAAGGAGCUGCACUGAGCUAACAGCUGCUGGCAAUGCAAGGUUUAAAGAACUGGCAGGUAAACUCUCUGCCUGUCUUCUGAUAACACUGCCAGUAAAAUGCAUGUGGUAUAUUUUGAGCUGGUCUCAGAAUAGAUGAUCUUCCGAAGUCCCAUCAAAUCAAAUACUAUAAAUCUCUCUGCAUAUAUGAAAUAGAUGUAAUGCACAUGUACUUAUGGAUAUUUAUACAUCUGAAGUCCUUUGGCUAGAAAGAUAGACCCCAGAAGUAUAUGAAAAUACAGUUUACCUAUGCUGCAAAUUUCUUUUCAGAAGUCAUAGCCUAGGAAACAGUGGUUAUGUUUUUAGGCAUGACUGAUCACCUCUCAGGACCGGGAAGAAAUGUCUUCAUUUAUUUAAUCAUUUUUAUCAGAUUGUAAAGUUUGCCAGGUUUGUUACAAAUUUUUUUCUUCUAAUUUACCUACUGACUUUAAACAGAGCGGAUAGGUGUUGAGCUAUGCUGUUAAAAUGGAUUCAUCUUCACAAAGAGAAGACUUACUUACCAAGGUACUGGUGGACCAUGACCUUGUCAGUGAGGACACCAUCCCUCCAGUAAACCUCUCCUGGCUCCUGCUUGACAGCCUACAGAACAGCCUGCUCCUGCAUGACAUGAACUAUGCUCAAAGUGCAGAGAUGAUCUUAAGAAAAACACUCUCACGAAUACUCAAAACUUAGGUGGUCAGAACAAAGUACAUUUGGUAAAUCAUUUUUUCAGUGAAACAUAUAUUCUACUGCAGCUCUGCACCACAUAUUCGUGAUGUACUCAGUCAAGGACUCAGGACCGUUGGAGGUUACACUCCACCCUAGAAAUCUUUAAGCCUCUUACUUACCCAUUGUAUACCUACAACCAUCUUCUCUGACCAUAAACCAUUAAUGCAUAACAUGCAAUUGGCUGCUUCCCAUUAUUAAUGACCUUCAGGAUCAAGCUUGACAUAUCUAAGUACUAAUCAGAGUGAUGGAAGAGCAUUUGGUCUUGGUAACCUGACUGUGGGGGAGUAGGGUGGGAUAUUAUACAAUUUAUCUAGAUUAUUUAUAAAC